rnacentral:misc_RNA from 1 species
CACCUUGACACCCUGCGCGCGCAUUAAGCGCAGGAUAUGAAUGUUCGAACAGGCUUUUUGCGCAAAACGCACGACGUCAAACUGCUGCAGGGCGGCUAUCUGACGGCGAAUAAUGUGCGCGUCAUAGACCCAGACCGGACAGCCGAAUUCAGCAGGCAAUCUGAGCAAAUUUUCAGCGUUAAGGUCAGUUUCAGCGUGAUAAUGCGGCAAUGACAUAACAAACUCCGGAACAGGCUUUUUAACGAUUACGCCAUACCUUAGAAAGAAUAAAAAAUAUCGUUUUAUUGUCAGUCUAUGCAAAAAUGAUAUGGGAUAAAUGAUUCAGGGAAACGUAUGGCUGCCGUUAAUUUACGUCACAUUGAAAUUUUUCAUGCCGUAAUGACCGCCGGAAAUCUCACCGAAGCGGCGCGGCUGCAGCAUACCUCGCAGC